GUCCACCUAAGAUGCUGGAGGGCCUUCCUUGAGUUCUCUAGACAUUAUGUGUGUAUGAAUGAAGCAUGGGACUGUCCCUUGGGCAUCCCCCACUUUGCUAUUCAACUGGCCCAUCUUUUUUAGGGCAACCUGUCUCUGUGGUGAUUUUAUUUUUCUAAAUGUUGUUUCCAACAAGCUCCUUGAAGGAAGGAGUAAGUAACCUAUAUACACUACUGUGCCCUCAUAUCAAUUCUGGGUAUAGAUCUCGCCCUGUGGGCUGGAUGUCAGCUGGGACCCCGGUCUGAUUCUUUUCUCUCCUCUUCUCUCAGUGAGACAUGGAUGAAGAAGCUCUGGAGGGGGCAGAAGGCUCAGUCUAACAGGAUGAUCUGUGUUGCCUCUGGGCUAACUUCAGAAGAGCCAAGUGGCAGCUACUGACUCACCAUUUCCUGUGUCACGUAGGGUGGUGUGGAUGUUUGCACAGACCUCUGCUUGGAUCCAGCUUCCACUCUGCAGAGCCUUCCCUGGGGGACCUUUGGACUCGCCACAGACCUGGGUGGUUUCCUGGCCCAGGAGAGGGUUUUGGACUCCAUCAUUUCCUGAUAUCCCUUCUUUCUGAUUGGACACUCAUCCAAAGAGAGGCACUCAUCUUUCUGCUGAUGUUUCUGGAUGUUUUCCUGGGACUGUUGUCCAGAGAUGGGAUUUAGGAAGAAAAAGGCUUCAAGUAACAAGUUGGUGCUCACACUUAUCAGUACCUUCUGGCCCUCUGGUUAGAGGAUAGAGCCUUUAGCUCUAAAACCUCUAUUAAAGGAGCAGCCCCAGGCCAGCUAUCUCUGUUUCUCACAUGGUUACAUGCCUUUGGACUUCUCCAUCCUGACUUCAUGGGCAAGAACUUUCUCUCCCCAGCCCAAUCUACUUCUGCUUCCUUUGUGUUACCUUCCACCAUUAGAUUGUAAACUCCUUGAGAGCAAGAACUGUGCCCCCUCCACUUUUUUUUUUGGUAUUUGAAUCCCCAACACUCAGCACAGUGACAGAGUAGGUAUUUAAUAAAUAUUUAUUGAUUAAUUUAUUAGGCA
rnacentral:lncRNA from 1 species